rnacentral:rRNA from 1 species
CGGAGGAUCCAAGCGUUAUCCGGAAUCAUUGGGUUUAAAGGGUCCGUAGGCGGUUUAGUAAGUCAGUGGUGAAAGCCCAUCGCUCAACGGUGGAACGGCCAUUGAUACUGCUAGACUUGAAUUACUAGGAAGUAACUAGAAUAUGUAGUGUAGCGGUGAAAUGCUUAGAGAUUACAUGGAAUACCAAUUGCGAAGGCAGGUUACUACUAGUGGAUUGACGCUGAUGGACGAAAGCGUGGGUAGCGAACAGGAUUAGAUACCCUGGUAGUCCACGCCGUAAACGAUGGAUACUAGCUGUUGGGGGCAACUUCAGUGGCUAAGCGAAAGUGAUAAGUAUCCCACCUGGGGAGUACGGGCGCAAGCCU